UCCAGCAGUAGUCAACUGUCUGCACAGAACCAUUCCUGUGAUGGUGUUACACUGCCGGGAGAGGAAUGUCUUGUUUUCUUCUUCCGGUUGCCUUCGUCACUGUUCUGAUGGUGUCUGGCAUCAGUGCAAGGAAGAACUGAGCUUCCUUGAGGGUAUGCUAAGCGUUCACUUUGGCUGUUUGGCUCUAGUCUGGGAGCAGACAUA